rnacentral:rRNA from 1 species
AGGGAAUCUUCCGCAAUGGACGAAAGUCUGACGGAGCAACGCCGCGUGAGUGAUGAAGGUUUUCGGAUCGUAAAGCUCUGUUGCCAGGGAAGAACGUCGGGUAGAGUAACUGCUAUCCGAGUGACGGUACCUGAGAAGAAAGCCCCGGCUAACUACGUGCCAGCAGCCGCGGUAAUACGUAGGGGGCAAGCGUUGUCCGGAAUUAUUGGGCGUAAAGCGCGCGCAGGCGGCCAUUUAAGUCUGGUGUUUAAUCCCGGGGCUCAACCCCGGGUCGCAUCGGAAACUGGGUGGCUGGAGUGCAGAAGAGGAAAGUGGAAUUCCACGUGUAGCGGUGAAAUGCGUAGAGAUGUGGAGGAACACCAGUGGCGAAGGCGACUUUCUGGGCUGUAACUGACGCUGAGGCGCGAAAGCGUGGGGAGCAAAC